GGGGAAUUUUCCGCAAUGGGCGAAAGCCUGACGGAGCAAUACCGCGUGAGGGAAGACUGCCUAUGGGUUGUAAACCUCUUUUUUCAGGGAGGAAUAAAAUGACGUGUACCUGAAGAAUAAGCAUCGGCUAACUCCGUGCCAGCAGCCGCGGUAAGACGGAGGAUGCAAGUGUUAUCCGGAAUCACUGGGCGUAAAGCGUCUGUAGGUGGUUUAAUAAGUCAACUGUUAAAUCUUGAGGCUCAACCUCAAAAUCGCAGUCGAAACUAUUAGACUAGAGUAUAGUAGAGGUAAAGGGAAUCUCCAGUGGAGCGGUGAAAUGCGUAGAUAUUGGAAAGAACACCGAUGGCGAAAGCACUUUACUGGGCUAUUACUAACACUCAGAGACGAAAGCUAGGGUAGCAAAAGGGAUUAGAUACCCCUGUAGUC
rnacentral:rRNA from 1 species